CUUAGCCACUGAAAUCCUACACUAGCACAUUGCUGUGAAGGUUUGAAAAAUAAAUGAGCUGUCUGUGUGUUCUUCCUUGAGGAGGUAUAAAUGUGAGUGUUGCCAAACACAAUCUACGUAAAGAUUGUUGGUCGUAAAGGGUGAUGGAGAUCUCCAGCUGUGGGGAGACUGCUGAAGCACUCUGAAGGAACUAGAAGCAAGUACCUACUCAUUUGCAAGACCCAGCAACGGAAGCAUCAUAUGCUAUAUUAAGGUUAUGCUGUCCUGAGUCCCCAAAAGCAGCUAAUUGUGCUCUGUUUAGACAGACAUUUCUCCCAGUACCACUAACAGUUUGUCACUCAAAUUUGCUUAUCUCCCUCUCCUGGACUCUUUGAGGAUACAAUCUGUAUCUUAAUUGCCUAUGACCACUCAGAAUCUAACUUAGUCCCAGGCACAUACUAUCUGUUCCAUAAAUUUACUGAACAAAUGAAUGAAUUACAUAGCAGAUAACACAUUGAUUUUGGUAAGAGAAAAAAAUACUAACAGGCAAUUUUCAGAGGAGAAAACACAAAUGCUUAGUAAACAUAGGAAAGAUGCUCAAAUUUACAAGUUUCAGGAAAAUGAAACACACACACACACACACACAACACCAAGAAACCGAUGAUUUAAAGUGUCAAAGGUGGAAAAGAUGGAUAACUUCGAGUGUUGGCCAGGAUGUGUGGAAUACUACAGAAUUAGUAGGAAAAUGAAAUAUUACUACUGUUCUUGCAAGCAAUUUGAUAAGUCAUUAAAAUGUAAAAUGUGCAUACUGUUUGACCUAGAAACUUCUGGGAAUUUAUAUGGCAGAAGUAAAAGUGCAGCACAUCAGGAUUAAUACACAAGUUUAUUUAUUACAGAAUUGUUUUAGUAGCAGUUUCUCCCUAAACAAACAAAACAAGAUGACAACAAACAUACAAACAAAAACACUUCUGGAAAACGAAAUCCUUAUCAAUAAAAUAAUCAGUAUAUAAAAUUAUGACAUAUCUAUAUUGUGGAAAAAUACAGAGAA